UUCAAGUUAUUUCAGUGACCAUUGUAGGUUUUUCUUUCUUUAACGGAAGGGUACCAACAAUUUUAUCCACGUCUGUAUAUAGGCACAGUGAAGGAUCAUGGUGUAAUCCAAUAUGUAUAAAUCACCGUUAGAAUCCCAAAAGCCACAACAGCGUAUACUAUAUUCAACUCUUUGUGGACGCAAUGUCUAUCAGGCAGUACAUGCGGAAUAUUAAGAAAAUAGCUAGAUAUUAAACUCAUGCUCCAUUUCACUGGGAUAAUUAAUAUUUGGGUACCGGUCACAAUGCGUCGCUGUUUGUUAUAGAUAACAUGGUAGUACAGCCUCGGUAUGGCCCAGUAACCUACUGUACUGUAUAUGAACACAUGACACUCGUAUUUAAUGUCUAAAUUCAAAUUAUCUUUUGAAAGAGGGAAACCAAGACAUCAUAAAUGCGGAUAACUAAGCAAUUUUAUUUGUCACAUGAAAGUUUCAACUCCAGUGAAAUGCAAUCCAGUCUGCUCUAACAAUAUGGGGUCCUUCUCUUUAUUCCUGCAACAAUUUCAGUACAUUACAUCUAAUGCAGCAUUCAACACUUUUAUCCAAAGCAACUUACAAUAAUACUUUCAACCGUGAAGAUACAACUCAUCAAGAAUCCUCCAGGUACAUUUGCUUCAAAAAACCCAAACCAUAGGAAGUGCUGGUGCAGUUACUAUCAUAGAAAUGAUCAUGUGUCUAUUUUAAUUGUAUAUAUGUCACUAUGAUGUGUUUUAUUCUGCUUUGGGUUUCUUGUCUCACAGUCUAAAUGUAUCAGUUCUAUGUAAACUACGGCUGUCCAACCCAGUCUUUUCACACGUUUAAUACAAAAGACUUGCAACCUUCUGUUCUCAGGCUUUAAACAGACAGAAGUGUGCCACCGUGACCAUUGUCAGGCAAAUUAUAAUCGGUUAUACUUACAAUGUCAAAGCUUAACCCCCGUCCAGACAGCAAUCUUGCAAUAACCUGUAAUGUAGAAUUUCAUUGGCUAUUCCCCUUCCCAUUUUUGUCUUCCUUCCCUUUAAGAGUCUUGUUCAAUGUUUGAUCAGGGUCAGAUCCUUGUACUACAUUGGUUGUGCAGGUUAGCUGGCCUUCAAGCUGGAACUUGAUACUGUUAGAUGUUCUUCUCUUUAUCAAAUAACACAACUUUGAUCUGAAGCUUGUAGAUUUGUUCUUUUCUUACCAGAAGGUGACAAAGUGUGGAAUUUCCACCAUCUUUAUUUUGCCUUUAUUUACCUUAAACUUUUAAGUUCUACAACUUCUUAUCUUGUCUUUAUUGCCUUUGCUUUGCUUUCACAAAGUGUCAUGACAUUGAAAUUCAUAAGGAAACAACGAUCUCAAAAUGGAACAUAAGUAAAUGAACGUGUUCACAUUAGAAGUAGUUUUAGGGGUUUAGCUGGUUCAUCACAUCUGUGACACAAAUCUCUGCAUACUGGCUUUUUACCUGCAAAUCCGACAGUGAAUACUCUGCAUGUACAGUUUUUUGUAAAUAAAGUGCAUGACAUCAAUAUUUUAUGCUGAUAAAGUGAAAUACAAGGUCACAUUCAAGAUGAAUAUUCUCUGUUUGCUUUUAUAUAGCCAUAGGAGAACUUAACAAUAAACAAUGAUGCUGAUAUAAAGAAAUACACACAGUAGCACUGAAUUGUGCACAUGCAUUGUUUUGAACGUGGAGGUAAAUUGAAUGCAGGAUGGAAACAAUGGACUAUAUAGAGAGGUCAUAACAGAAUGUACAUGUACAUGUGUAAGACCAUAAAUAAUGAUAAACAGGGUUUGAUUUGUAAAAAAUCUUAACUUAAAAGUGCCACACAUAUUGCCAUAUGAUAACCCUGGAGCCUUAAGGGUCUGGGGUCCCCUCAGGGUUGCAUGCUUUGCCCAGCUUUUGAUCCAGUUUAAGUCAAGCACAUACUAAUUAUCUACCAUUUCCACACAAUCCUUAAUUUCACAUCUCUUCAUGAUUCCCAUUCUCUUACUGCAUCUGCUCAUUCAGGACUGAGUCUUUGGCUCCUGCAGCCAGCACAGCGAAGAGGAAGGAGGGGAAGAGGGAGCGGAGGUAGAGGGCCACCCUGGGGAUGGGGUGGGCCAGCACCACCUCCUUCUUCUUCCUGUUUACCGUUUGCAUUAUUUCAUUUGCCAGGACAGAGGGGCGCACACCGUGGACCAACUGGCUGCGGAUGACUGUGGAAGAACAAAUACAUUUAGAGUAGUCAACAAAAAACUGAUAUUCGAAACAUUUAAAAAUUAUAAUUUUAUUUUAUUGGUUUGUUUUUCUCUCCUCUAAAAAGUUGUGCGUGUUUUACUUCCACACUACUUCAUUGCACUUACAUUUGAAUUAAAACUGCAACUGCUUCACUCAUAAAUCAUUACCCUGUGAGUGUCUUCCAUUCCGAUUCAUUUACUCACAUGCAGCCACAGCGUUUGUUUUCGGGGCAGGCACCUCCCCAGGUGGCGGUUCGGAGGCGUUGAUGAAGGUGUGACUGAUGGUGCUCACUUCUAUCCCAUACUCCUUCACUUCGGCCCGCAGGCAGUCGAAGAAGGCCUGCACAGCAUGCUUAGAUGCAGCAUCUGAAAGGGAGACACUUUGCACCGGGGCCUUCAGCUUCAUGCUGCUGUUACAGAUCAACACAUCCACACAGCCGUAACAAUCCACCACCUCUGACACCACAUCCUCCAUGCUGUCCAUGUCGCUGAAGUCCAGGAUCACCAGCUUUGGGGCAAAUGUCUGGGGAGACACGGGAUUGUAUAAAUUGCUGUUUGUCACACAUGUUCAUAUUAUUACUACAUUAUUUUACUAAGUUAGUAUUUCUCUAAGUUAUUAUUGUUUAAUAGUUUCUUGCUGAAAGUGAAAUGAUAACUUCAAAACAAUUUUAACUGUAAACCUGUAUCGCAAAAUGUCAAACUACACCCUUCGACAAAAAUAAAAAAGGUUAACUCAUA